GGGUUGGCCAUCAGAAGGAAGCCUGGACAGGUCCCUUGUUUCUAAGGUGAUCAAGUAUGGAUUAAAGACUGGAAUGUAGCUUCUUUGUGCCCAUGGUGGAUAGGACCCCAGAUUGUCAUCCUGACCAUUCUCACCGCUGUGAAGGUAGAAGGAAUCCCAGCCUGGAUCCACCACAGCCAUGUAAAACCUGCAGCGCCUGAAACCUGGGAGGCAAGACCAAGCCCGGACAACCCUUGCAGAGUGACCUUGAAGAUGAUGACAAGCCCUGCUCCAGUCACACCCAGAAGCUGACUAGUCCAUGCACGGCCGAAGCAUGAGGAAGCUCAUCGUGGAACUCAUUUUUCUUAAAUUUUGGACUUGUACAGUAAGGACUUCAACUGUCCUUUCUCAGACUGAGGUAGGGCAAAAAGUUAAAACAGUCUUUCUGUUUAAAAGGGACUUGUGUGUAUAAUGCCACCCAGUACAAGGUAUGCAGCUCAGGAAGUGACCAGACUCAUGUGUGCUACAACCCAGUAGAACUACUUAAUCCCCAUUGGAAAACAGGAGAGUAUGUAACUCUAGGAGUCAAUGGAACUGGACUGGCAGGAAGACCUAGGUAAUGUAGGUGAAAGUGAGAACUCCCACUAGUGAGUGAGGUUCUCAAAGGGGAGAAUGAGGAGGGAAGCCAUUUCUCUUACUGUCUCCUAUCUGUGAAGAACAGGAGGAAGUAAAAGUUGAAAAACAACAGGAAUGAAGUCAGUGGCAAGACCAGCCAGUGCCACUGAUGACCUGGCCUGAGGUUAAAAGGUUAACCACCCCCUUCUCCUCUAACCACAUGUGCUCUCAAUCCAUCAUGACCCUUUCAUGUGGAACCCCUUAGAGUUGUAAGCCCUUAAAAGGGCCAGGAACUCUGUCUUCGGGGAGCUCGGCUCUUAAGAUGCGAGUCUGCCAACGCUCCCAGCCAAAUAAAAACCUCUUCCUUCUUCAA
rnacentral:lncRNA from 1 species